CAGUAGCCACGGUAAUACGGAGGGUGCAAGCGUUGUCCGGAUUUAUUGGGUUUAAAGGGUGCGUAGGCGGCUAUUUAAGUCAGCGGUGAAAGACUCCGGCUCAACCGGAGCAGUGCCAUUGAUACUGGAUAGCUUGAGUGUUGGAGGGGUACAUGGAAUUGAUGGUGUAGCGGUGAGAUGCAUAGAUACCAUCAGGAACACCGAUAGCGAAGGCAUUGUACUGGCCAACAACUGACGCUGAGGCACGAAAGCAUGGGGAGCGAACAGGAUUAGAUACCCCGGUAGUCCCUGUCUCUUAUAC
rnacentral:rRNA from 1 species